AAGACUAUAGACCUGCGGAGUACCUGCGGAAGGAUCAUUACAGAGUUCAUGCCCUCACGGGUAGAUCUCCCACCCUUGCGUAUUUAUACCUUUGUUGCUUUGGCAGGCCGCCUGGGCUCGCGCCUGGCCACCGGCUCUUGGGCUGGUGCGUGCCUGCCAGAGGAUCUCCAAACUCUAGUUAUCAGUGUUGUCUGAGUACUAUACAAUAGUUAAAACUUUUAGCAAUGGAUCUCUAGAUCG
rnacentral:misc_RNA from 1 species